CUGGGUCUGAUCUGAGACCAGCUAAGUGGCUUGAACUGAACACGAGGCUGCAAGUUGACACCCGGCCGGAGGCUGAGAUCAUGCAGGGGCACGAACCGUUUCCCGUGGGGCCGUAGGAAGCGGUGUGGGGUUUACCUGUUCCGAGGUGAAGCGGCGGCAGGCCGAGCGGUGCCACCCCCAGCCCGGCGCGGACGGCCAGGACG